rnacentral:tRNA from 1 species
AUUUAAAUAGUUUAAUUAAAAUAUUAGUGUGUGGAACUAAAGAUAUAAAAUUUAUUUUAGAUCAUU